GACGUUGGGGGCAAGCGUUAUUCGGAAUUAUUGGGCGUAAAGCGCUCGUAGGCGGGACUGGAAGUCCGUGUUGAAAGACCUCGGCUCAACUGAGGGACCGGCUCGGAUACUCUAGUUCUUGAGGCAAUCAGAGGGUGAUGGAAUUCCCGGUGUAGCGGUGAAAUGCGUAGAUAUCGAGAGGAACACCAGUGGCGAAGGCGAGUCCCUGGACAACACCUGACACUGAGGCACGAAAGCUAGGGGAGCAAACAGG
rnacentral:rRNA from 1 species